rnacentral:lncRNA from 1 species
UAACUAAACAUGAAAUCCACUGUAAUUUAAAACUUUACAUAACUGAAAUAUUUAGUUAUUACAUGCUUUAUAUACAUUCAUUUACAUGUCUCUGUACAUCGAAAUAGAUGAUACAUGAACCCAAAAUGGUAUACCACUAGUACUCGGGUGUCCACUAGCUAGGCUGCUGGCUCUUGCCUCGAUCCUCGGCCACAAUACUCGCACUGGAACCUGUAUGGUUAGUGGUGUGAGAACUACAAGAAAGUUCCCAGUGGGUUCGGCCGCCGACCUCGCCGACUCACCCACUAGAUCUACUCAGGCAUAUGUAGACAAGAAAAGUAAACAGAUAGUAACCAACUAUAACAUGUAACUACUACAAUGCCUGCACAAAGCUGAAAGGAAGCAAUAUAGGAAAACUGUAAUUAUGCAUGUAUGCUUUUCACUAACUUUACCCAAUCUUUUGGUUAACCCUCUGGUUAACAGCUGGACAAGUACGUUAGUCCUGGGGCAAGUACGUUAGCCCAUAAAUUUACCCAAUUCAGUGGUUAACCCUUUGGUUAACAAUAACUCACCAUCGAAAUCCCUCACGGGCCCUAAGCUGCCUCCCGAUGGGACCGUCUGUCGGACAAGUACGUUAGUCCUGGGGCAAGUACGUUAGCCCAACAAGUGACUACUCCGGAGCUCACUGCCUGGGGGGAGCGACCACCACCAAGCUAAGAAAACAGACUAUGUGAGUAAGAUCUGAUUCCCCUUUAGAGGAUUCAACUGACAACAAUGUCACAAUUUAACUCUAACUAGUUCUUUAUACUAGUUUCAUAAUUGCAUUUCUCGAUGCUAACCAAAUCUCUAGUCAUGAUGUCACCAAGUUUACUAUUGUCUUGGUCCUUUACAGUUUCAUACAUUCAUAGGGUUCUAUGUCCACAUGCUAAUGUUCAUAUGUUCUUACUAUCAAUAAGAAUUCACACGUUCAAUAUCACUUACAUAAUGCCAAUGCCCAUACCCUAUAAUGUAUGAAUUCAGAAGUAAAUAUGCUCAAUGAAUAGCAUAGACAUAAAAGGUGAUUCAAAGACUUCGGAUAGCACCACCCACCUGUAGUGGUGUCCACAACUAGGAUCUCACGUCUCGGAAAGCGUCGACGACUAUCUCUCGCGACUCCGUGCAAAUAGGACUAGAGCGGUCUUCACCGUAAUUAGCGCGUCGCCGAC